rnacentral:rRNA from 1 species
GAUGAACGCUGGCGGCGUGCCUAAUACAUGCAAGUCGAGCGAACAGACGAGGAGCUUGCUCCUCUGACGUUAGCGGCGGACGGGUGAGUAACACGUGGAUAACCUACCUAUAAGACUGGGAUAACUUCGGGAAACCGGAGCUAAUACCGGAUAAUAUAUUGAACCGCAUGGUUCAAUAGUGAAAGACGGUUUUGCUGUCACUUAUAGAUGGAUCCGCGCCGCAUUAGCUAGUUGGUAAGGUAACGGCUUACCAAGGCAACGAUGCGUAGCCGACCUGAGAGGGUGAUCGGCCACACUGGAACUGAGACACGGUCCAGACUCCUACGGGAGGCAGCAGUAGGGAAUCUUCCGCAAAGGGCGAAAGCCUGACGGAGCAACGCCGCGUGAGUGAUGAAGGUCUUCGGAUCGUAAAACUCUGUUAUUAGGGAAGAACAAAUGUGUAAGUAACUAUGCACGUCUUGACGGUACCUAAUCAGAAAACCACGGCUAACUACGUG